rnacentral:rRNA from 1 species
GAUGAACGCUGGCGGCGUGCCUAAUACAUGCAAGUCGAGCGAACAGACGAGGAGCUUGCUCCUCUGACUUUAGCGGCGGACGGGUGAGUAACACGUGGAUAACCUCUCUAUAAGACUGGUAUCACUUCGGGAAACCGGCGCUAAUACCGUAUAAUAUAUUGAACCGCAUGGUUCAAUUGUGAAAGACGUUUUUGCUUUCACUUAUAGAUGGAUCCGCGCCGAAUUAGCUAGUUGGUAAGGUAACGGCUUACCAAGGCAACGAUGCGUAGCCGACCUGAGAGGGUGAUCGGCCACACUGGAACUGAGACACGGUCCAGACUCCUACGGGAGGCAGCAGUAGGGAAUCUUCCGCAAUGGGCGAAAGCUUGACGGAGCAACGCCGCGUGAGUGAUGAAGGUCUUCGGAUCGUAAAACUCUGUUAUUAGGGAAGAACAAAUGUGGAAGUAACUAUGCACGUCUUGACGGUACCUAAUCAGAAAGCCACGGCUAACUACGUG